ACAUGCUGAAAAAUGGAAAGCUGUUUGUUAGUGAAUGCAUGAUUUUGGAGGAGAUAUGGUUGUUUUCCUGACAAUUGCUGGAUAAAUUUAUCUUUUAUUAUUAUUUGUUAUAAAUAUUUCUGUCCUGGAAAUUUUUAAUUCUAAAAAAAUGCGAAAUUUACUAAGAUAUCAAGGUUCCAAAUUCUAUGAACUUGAUGGGUGGAAGAUAAAUAAUUAGACAGGGUAUACAAGAGUAUAUCAGAUAAUUCCUCCCUAUCAUUAAGAUUUCACAAAAGAUUGUGAGUACUGAGACAGAGAUAGAACAUCAGUUUGUGUAAAAAAAUGAGUUAUAUGCAUUAAGGAAAGAAGAUACAUAAAUCUAAUGGAAAAUGGAGAUCUCCCUGCAAACAUAUUCCUUGAUCUUAUGCACAUUUACUUCAUGUAUUGUGGCGUUGGUCAUAGCUUCAGCUUUACAAUAAUAAACAGUCAACUCUUAUUCUCAAGCUUCAUUUUUGACUUUUUCUGAUACAGGUCUUUAACAACAGCCCAGAUGAGACAGCAUAUUUUCGAAUGAUUCUUAACAGAGAAAAUGUUGCUAAUUCAGUUGUAAUGAUUCAACCCUCAUUGAUCUCUUAUUCUUUUCAUUCUGGACCAGAACCUGUUCUUCUCGAUGUGGCUUCCAUUGCUGCUGAUAGAAUCCUUCUUUUAGAUUCAUAUUUCAUCAUUGUCAUAUUUCAUGGAUCAACUAUUGCUCAAUGGCGAAAAGCUGGAUAUCAUGAACAGCCUGAACAUCAGGUAACUAGAUGUAAAAAGUAACGGCACAUGCAUAACCUUAUCCUCAUGACACUUUUGAAGGAUAAUUCAUUAGCAUUCAACAGUAAAACCAACACAAAAUAAUCAGACGACAGGAAGAGGUGCCUGGUAUCAAGCAUUAAUUUGUAAAGGUUGAUGUUGUAAAGGUUUGAAUGAAAGAAUGGGUAAUCUUUUAUCAGAAAAAAAUAAGUAAAAAUAAAAAUGGAAGGGUAGCAAUCACUUCCUAAAUUCCAUAUGAACUUUGUUGAUUUUUAUUAUUGCGACUGGUAGACUUUUUUGUGAGAAAUAGUCAAAUAGAACCUUAAAACUCAUCACAGUUUAUGAAGCCUUGGUUUUUGUGAUGUAAAUGGUUGCAAUCUCUUGGGGGAUAUUGCUCUCUCAUUCAAAAUAAAUAAAGGUAAGAAAGGUGCAAUACUAAAGUCUUGCAGCCUUAACCAUGUAAUGCAAAUGAUCCUAUUAAAAAUGUUCCCUUAAUUUUUUCCUUGAUUUUCAAAAAUAUCAAGAUUGCAAGAUAUUAUAACUUUUACUGUUAAUCAAGGAAAAUUUUAUUCUGUAGAUUACUAAUUUUUAUUUGAGCUCUCAAUUUUUAGGACGACUUAGGUCCUACUUUUAACUAUAGAACCAUAUUCUAAACUAGAGUCUAAAUCAGAAAAAUACACUCAAAUACGCUAAGUAAAUUAUUGUUGAAAAUUGUGCAAACAAGUGGAAAAGAAGCAUACUAAUGAAAUAUCGUUUAAUUUCAUUUUCUGAUCAUAUAUUAUGAUUUUUGAAUUUUGUAAGCUAUCUUUAUAUUUCAUGGCCUCUUCACCUUGGUAUUUGACAUUUGCAAGUUUUUUACUAUCCAAGUUUGAUAUUCCUUGCAGGCUGAAUUUGACCCCAUUAGAUGGUUGGAUAAAUCAUUGAUUCAUUUAUGUUCUCGGUUUGGGGAGUACCAGAAGGAUGCCCCAUCUUCUUUCACCUUAUCUCCUAGAUUUUCAAUAUUUCCUCAAUUCAUGUUUAAUUUACGACGUUCACAAUUUGUCCAGGUACAUGGUAUCUUAUUUAUAUGUAUUAAUUGUUCCUUGUACACAUUUUCAUGUGGCAGAAGAGAGAAUUUUGUUAGAGAGAAAUAAAGUAUGAAAAAGGAGGACAUGAUAUCCUCAACUGCCAAAACUGAAAAAUAAAAAUGCAUUUAGUAUUGAUUAACCAUAAUAGCGACCCAGCUCGUUUGUUAAUCUAUCAAAGUUUUCCCAGUGGUGCAGAGAGAUGAAAAGAAAAAUCCACUGUCCCUAUAAAGGCAACAGAAAAGUAGGUUGUUUGUGUUAAGACUUGGAUUUUCAUUUUAAAAAGUCAACAUUAUUAAGAUGAAUAACCCAAAUCUUUAUAUGUUGGUCUAUAUUUCAGUAUUUAAUCGAUGUGGAAUUUAUAUCUUAACAUACCCCUGCAAAAUGGUGGUCAAUUAAGCAGAUCAAUUUUGAAAUUCGCUUGCUCAUUUUUGAGUCUUGAUCAGAUUGAAUUGCUUAUUGGAACUUAAUGGGUUCUGAUACAAUAUUAAGACAUAGUUUCAUCUAAAAAAGUCAAUCUUAUUAGGAAAAAUACACCAAGCCUGCAUAUGUUGGUUUAUAUUUCGGUAUUCAAUCGAUCUGGGUUUAUCCCUUAACAAUGCAUGAUAGUGUGUAUGAAAGUACUGUCAUGCAAAAUAAUAAUAAUAAUAAUAAUAAUAAUAAUAAUAAUAAUAAUAAUAAUAAUAAUAAUAAAAAAUAAAGCCCUAACUUCCCAGUAAAUCAGUAAAUGUGUUUGAAGCCCUGAACAAUGGAAUUUGGCACAAAUUAUAAGAGUUCAGAGGUUUCAUGCCUGACUUUUGCUCAUUCACCUGUUUUUGCUUGGAAAAUGGGGUCAUUCGCCAAAAGCUGACUCUGUUGACCGAGAAUGAGCUGCUGUCUGAGACUGCUCAUCACUCAACCCAAUUCUAUUGAGUGGGACUGGGCUAUUGUUCAAGACUGGGCUAGAAUUAGUCCUAAAGGUCAUGUUAUUAAACUGCAUUUGGGCUGCAAUAUAAUGUCCAAAUGCUUCAAGUACUGCCACUAGAGAACACCAAAUAUGCUUCUCCUGUACCUUCCUUAACCUGUAAAGUGUAUUAGAAACAUGUCCUUUGAAGAACAAAGAAUUACACCUACCAUAUUUGUAUUUUCAAAGUCUAUUCCACGAUUCCAUUCCCUUGCAUAAUCUCUUUGCUUAAAAUGAUGAUUAUACAUCUUAUUAGUCUUCCACAUCACAUGCUGAAAAAUGGAAAGCUGUUUGUUAGUGAAUGCAUGAUUUUGGAGGAGAUAUGGUUGUUUUCCUGACAAUUGCUGGAUAAAUUUAUCUUUUAUUAUUAUUUGUUAUAAAUAUUUCUGUCCUGGAAAUUUUUAAUUCUAAAAAAAUGCGAAAUUUACUAAGAUAUCAAGGUUCCAAAUUCUAUGAACUUGAUGGGUGGAAGAUAAAUAAUUAGACAGGGUAUACAAGAGUAUAUCAGAUAAUUCCUCCCUAUCAUUAAGAUUUCACAAAAGAUUGUGAGUACUGAGAUAGAGAUAGAACAUCAGUUUGUGUAAAAAAAUGAGUUAUAUGCAUUAAGGAAAGAAGAUACAUAAAUCUAAUGGAAAAUGGAGAUCUCCCUGCAAACAUAUUCCUUGAUCUUAUGCACAUUUACUUCAUGUAUUGUGGCGUUGGUCAUAGCUUCAGCUUUACAAUAAUAAACAGUCAACUCUUAUUCUCAAGCUUCAUUUUUUACUUUUUCUGAUACAGGUCUUUAACAACAGCCCAGAUGAGACAGCAUAUUUUCGAAUGAUUCUUAACAGAGAAAAUGUUGCUAAUUCAGUUGUAAUGAUUCAACCCUCAUUGAUCUCUUAUUCUUUUCAUUCUGGACCAGAACCUGUUCUUCUCGAUGUGGCUUCCAUUGCUGCUGAUAGAAUCCUUCUUUUAGAUUCAUAUUUCAUCAUUGUCAUAUUUCAUGGAUCAACUAUUGCUCAAUGGCGAAAAGCUGGAUAUCAUGAACAGCCUGAACAUCAGGUAACUAGAUGUAAAAAGUAAUGGCACAUGCAUAACCUUAUCCUCAUGACACUUUUGAAGGAUAAUUCAUUAGCAUUCAACAGUAAAACCAACACAAAAUAAUCAGACGACAGGAAGAGGUGCCUG
rnacentral:lncRNA from 1 species